GUCCACGCCGUAAACGAUGAGUGCUAGGUGCUGCGGGUAUUGACCCCUGCGGUGCCGUAGCUAACGCGUUAAGCACUCCGCCUGGGGAGUACGGCCGCAAGGCUAAAACUCAAAGGAAUUGACGGGGGCCCGCACAAGCGGUGGAGCAUGUGGUUCAAUUCGACGCAACGCGCAGAACCUUACCUGGGUUAAAUCCACUCGAACCUUGCAGAGAUGUUGGGGUGCUCUUCGGAGAGCGAGUGAGAAGGUGCUGCAUGGCUGUCGU
rnacentral:rRNA from 1 species